rnacentral:lncRNA from 1 species
UUAGGGUUGAGUAUUAAUAUAUUUUUACUGUACGUUAAGGCAUAAAAUUGUUGAAUAUUUGCUUUCAGAUUUUUGUUAUUUACGACUUUUUAUUACCUGCAAUCAUGUCGGCAGAUGAAAUUAUUGAACGUACAAUUUUGAACAAUCUUCUUUAAUUUUUAAUCAGCUAUUGCAGUUUUUAUAAACCAUUGGCUUUCAAAUAUUCGGCUUUUGGUGAAUCAUG